UACGUAGGUGGCAAGCGUUGUCCGGAUUUACUGGGCGUAAAGAGCGCGCAGGCGGUCGGCCAAGUCGAGUGUGAAAGCCCCGGCUCAACUGGGGAGGGUCAUUCGAUACUGGUCGCUGAAGGAGGAGAGGGAAGCGGAAUUCCCGGUGUAGUGGUGAAAUGCGUAGAUAUCUGGAGGAACACCGGUGGCCGAAGGCGGCAUCCUGGACCAACACU
rnacentral:rRNA from 1 species